rnacentral:rRNA from 1 species
UACGUAGGGGGCAAGCGUUGUCCGGAAUCAUUGGGCGUAAAGCGCGUGUAGGCGGUUCGGUAAGUCUGCUGUGAAAGUCCAGGGCUCAACCCUGGGAUGCCGGUGGAUACUGUCGGACUAGAGUACGGAAGAGGCGAGUGGAAUUCCCGGUGUAGCGGUGAAAUGCGCAGAUAUCAGGAAGAACACCUAUGGCGAAGGCAGCUCUCUGGGACGGUACUGACGCUGAGGAACGAAAGCCAGGGGAGCAAACGGG